CAGCUGAAUUUGAGGGGGGUGUCUAUAACAUACUGGGUACUUCCCCCCAGUGAGAUUUCUAGUCCUUUAAAGUUGUCUCUUUCUGCUCUGCUGACACAUAUGGGCUUUUGUAACAUUCCUGGGCAUCUCACCCUUCUGUAUUUCCACAGUUGGUUGCCCUUCAUGCCAUGACAGUCAAAGAGGGUGACGGCUCGUUUGUGACACGGCAUCAAAGCAAGACUUCAUAGUGUGCUGUGGGAUGCCAGGACGUAUAUCUUCUCUCCAACCCAGAGUGAACCCCUGCACAGAAAAGCAGUUGGAUUCUCCAGUUUCUGAGUAUGAUCCUAGGCAACAUCCAUGAGAAGAUGUUCCUGAAAGCAAGGAGGAUCCAAUUGCUGAGAACCGAUAAGAAGCCUGUUGGACAGAAGCCACAGCACAACAGGAGAUGAGGAUGCUGGGACUAAUGAACAGAGGAAGGGCCUUAUACUCAGUUGCAUCUUCACAAUUUCCAGGAUGAAAUAGUUAGAUAGUGGGACUAGAGACAAGGAUCUCUGAACAACAAACCACAUGGCAGUUCAGCGAUAUCUUCCCUCUGGGCAGGCCGGCCCAUUCUAUUCAUGGAUCAUCAUUACUCAAAAGAAGCAAGCUGACUCCUGACGUGACCACAUCGCCUGUCCUGCCAAUAUUACCAAUCAAAGUCCUAGAUAAGUGGUCAACUAGGUCAUCCUUUUUUAUUUACCUUGAAAGAAAGGCAUACCAGUGAGUAUAUAGCACAACUAUUCCACACAGUGGGACAUGUCAACAGGCAUGGAGGGACUUGCAGGAUGAUGCCCAUGAAACAAGCGGUUCCUCAACCCAAUGGGGUUUCACCAGGUUGUCCCAUUGGGGGAAAUUCUGCGACUGAUAUGAUAGCAACCAGGGAAAACACAAAAGCUUUUAUAUAUUUUGCCUGCACAACCUCAAAAAGUGGCGGUAGAUGUGUUGGUGAAAAUGGCCUCUGGUUUUUCUGUAUUUUUUUCUCCAUUAACUCUCAACCCCUGCUUGAAAAAGCCAUCAUAAUUAUGGUGGCCACACCAAGCGUGGUUCUCAGAUCUAAGGAGCCCCAGUGGUACCAAUUUUCAGCUUUACUUGACAGAGCUAUUAAGUUGUCUUCCUCAAAGUUCCAUGUUUCAGCCUUGUCUGUUGUAUUUCAAAGACGUAUUUCAGAGUAUUGAGAUGUUCAUGUUAUUUUGUUCUGGAAGGGAUAAACUUCAUAACUUAAAAGAUCUGAUUCUGCUCUGAAACAUAGUGAUGCCCAGGCUCCAGUGUAUAUAUAUCCAAGGGACCUUCCAACUACUUUAUGGAUGAGACUGAGCAAGAAUCACAUGAUUGGGAGAAAAUAAAGAAGAGAUGAAAAAGAUGAAAAGAUGCAAAUAGCAGUAUUUACAGCAAUACCAACCCAUAGAUAUACAACCAGAGAGGCCACCACCUCCCCACCGCCUGUGAAUGUAACGUAAUUAUUACGGGAGUUUAUUUCUGUGAGACAAGAGACGUUGUUGCUGCCAUGGAACCAAACAGGACUGUCCUGCCUGUUACUGGGAUGUGAGACUUCAGUCAUGUGACCUUUAUGUGUUACAAUGGGUGCUACCACCUCGGGCACAGACGGGGGAGCACCCUGGUGACCCAGGCAAUCCCGGCAUGAGGAAACCAAUCCUGAAGGGCCCAUCACUGUUGGGGUCUGAAGUGCCUACCCUACCUGCCAGCUGACUGUGCUC